AUUAUUGCCCGGAAGGCAAUUCCGUAUACUCGUAAAGCUUCGUAAAAGAUGUUCUGGAGAAGACAAGUUAGUUAGAUGAAGGCUAGGCGUUCUAGGACUCUCUAGCUAGCUAGUAUAGCUAUGUAGCUGGAUUGCUUGGCACCUAGGAAGGAUCUUCGAAGAAAUAAAGAGGCAAAGACUCCCGUCGCUCGAAUGGUGGUGGUAAGUGUCAGAGGCCUGAGAAACGCUUGUCUAUGGGCUAGAAUGUUGUUAUGGAGUGUUUAUGAGGAUAAGUGGCACGGGAUACGUACAUCUAAAGAAACAAGAGUGGAUCUACGCCAAGCUAGCUAGCUAGAUAGCUGCUCUUUCUAAUCUAUUUCUGUUGCUAAAUUAUGUUUGUUAAGAAGUGGAGCUAUAUUAUACCUGGCUCCUCUUGAUGAUUGUAAGUACUGGGCUGAUGAAAUAGUCCUUACAAGUUGUCCUCUUUUAUUUGUUAAAAAUAAUUAACAAUAAUAGGGAAAUUCCCAGGGAAUUUCCCCCUCACGUAGACAGUAAAUUUCAUUAUAAAAAAUGAACGUUCGGUGAGUUUCUUCAACGUCCGCGCUUGACCUGUUUAAAGCUUUGUAGAGACCCAAAUUUUUACAGGUAGGUAGAGGAAGGGUUGAAGUUAGCACCUGUGAAAAAAAAAUUUUUUGCCCAUGUUUUUUAUUUCUACUAAAUUGGCUUAUAGCUUAAUUUAAUUAGU